rnacentral:rRNA from 1 species
AGUGAACGCUGGCGGUAGGCCUAACACAUGCAAGUCGAACGAGACCUUCGGGUCUAGUGGCGCACGGGUGCGUAACGCGUGGGAACCUGCCCUUAGGUUCGGAAUAACUCCCCGAAAGGGGUGCUAAUACCGGAUAAUGUCUUCGGACCAAAGAUUUAUCGCCUUUGGAUGGGCCCGCGUUGGAUUAGCUAGUUGGUAGGGUAAAAGCCUACCAAGGCGACGAUCCAUAGCUGGUCUGAGAGGAUGAUCAGCCACACUGGGACUGAGACACAGCCCAGACUCCUACGGGAGGCAGCAGUGGGGAAUAUUGGACAAUGGGCGAAAGCCUGAUCCAGCAAUGCCGCGUGAGUGAUGAAGGCCUUAGGGUUGUAAAGCUCUUUUACCCGGGAUGAUAAUGACAGUACCGGGAGAAUAAGCUCCGGCUAACUCCGUG